CUGGAUUUGUUGAAUUAAUCUCCAGAAAAAAUUAAUACUUCAAUUUAAAACCAUGUUUGAUUCAUUAGCCUGAUAAUAAAUCCUGUACAUUCCAUAUCAUUGACAAUAAUAUGUGAUGUUUUAUAUAUCAACUUGUCAUUAUUUUCUAGUCAUUCCACAAACUUUUAUAACUUUAAACAUAUUUUUACCUGUAUAGUAUUGUUAUUUAUUUAUUUUUGGCACAUGUUGUAGGUAUUUUACACAAUUGUUGAUAUUUAUUUUAAUUUUAUUUUGCUCAUGUAUUUUUUUAUGUUAAAACACAUCUAUUUAAUACAUUCCUGAAAGAUAUUUAAUCCUUAAUGAUCAUUAUAGUUUUAAAAAAAAAAGGAACAUUUUGAAAGAAGUUUCAACUUUGAAUUAUGUAUGAGGAAAAAUUACAAUGGUCUCAAUUUGUUGUAUAAAGACUUCGGGUAAAGGUAUUUAUUGUCUUGUAGUAAUGGAAUUUUUGGUCAAAGGGGAUAAUUCCCACAUAAUUCUUAUAAGAAAGGUACAAGACUAUAUUUACUAGUUAAUCACUUUAGCAAGUAUGAUUUUAUCUAUUUAUUUAGUUGUAUGGGAAUUUCCAAAAAUAGUUUUAACAGUAGAAAUUGAUUUACAAUUUGCUAAAAAUAUUAUGUGACUACAUUUAAUGUACAGUGUCAUCUUUUAUUUCACAUGCAUUUUUAUAAGCAUGAAAAUAAAAUGUUUU
rnacentral:lncRNA from 1 species